UUCUUAUCAAGAGUGGUGGAGGGACUGGCCCUGUGAAACCCAACAACCAGCAUUUUUCAUUUGAAUGUAUGGUGUUAAUUCCUGCAAAUUUAUUUGAGAGAUAAGAG
rnacentral:ncRNA from 2 species